AGCUUCUCUUCUUUCUUCUUUCUCUGUCUUUCAAAACAUAGCAGCAUCAAUCGAUGUCAAGAGCUUUUCUUUGCUUUUGUCCUCUGGACAAAACUCCAUUUUUUUUAUGAGACCCAGAGGUCUCCCCUCAAUUUCUGGCAUUUGAUUGUACUUGGAAGAGAUUGUAAUCUCAAUUGGAGGGUCCGGAUUUUUCCUUCUGCAGAGUGGUUGCUUAGGAUUUGAUGGACGAUGGGCUCGAGACAGAAAAGGGCUGUAAGGACGGGGAAGGUCAAUAUUUCAUCUCCACUAUCUGAUGUGAAUUUCUAGAAUGCAGAUAUAUGUUCGGAGUAAAAAUGGCCACUUGUGAAAAACAACUGGUGAGUGAAAAUGAAGGAAUAUGAAAACUUGAAGUUGACAUCUCUAAGAAGUAGUUAAAGCUGGAAAUGACCAUACAUUGGGUUUUGUUACUGGUGGGUCUGCUCAUGUGCAAAUGCAAUUUAGCACCAAAGAGUGUGAGAGUCUGGGAUUAACUGAUCUGGCUCUCUGCUUAGACUGCAACACCUUUGCUGAGUAUGUCAAGGACCAAGCUGCAGCCGGGGAAAACUUCAUUGACAGAGUUUUCAUUAUGGGUCUAUAGAGACUGCAUUUUGGAAAUCUCUUUUGUAUGUGGAUAGGAUUAUAUGUUAUUUUAAAGUUUCUUUUAUGCAAAAAAAAAAGGAAAAAGAAAAAGAAAAAAAGAUGUUAAAUUUGUUGUAUGUUGUUGACGUAAAACAUAUCUUGCAUCUGCAAUAUUUUCAUUGUGUAAUUAUUUGAUUUGGUUUUUCAAAACUCUUUCAUUGUCGUAAUAAGAUUUUAGACACGAGAUAAUGGCUUGUUUCUCUUAUCAGUUAUAUGUAGAUCUUUAGUCCAUAUUAUGUUGAAUCCUGUAUCUCUUGCUAUUAUGUAGUCAUCUUUAUCGUGUUGAAUCCUAUUUCUCUUGCUAUUAUGUGGUCGUUUCUAUAUUUUACAAUUAAAUAGGCUUCUUAUCCGACAUAUUUGAGUAUUGCUCUCAAAAAGUUGAGCUUCCUCUUGAAUUUGUUCAUGAGUGGCACAUUUUUUAUGCACAUCAAAUCAUGGCAAAUACAGUUAGUCGAUGCAAGAUGACGUUACAUGGUAUAUAUUACUUUGAAAUUUAUGACAUUGCCAAUCCUAUUCAAUUAGUAGGUAAAGCAAAAAAUGACUUUUCGUCACUUAGUCACUAAGUUAAAAUUAUGGCUUAUUUUCGCUGCUUAAUAAAAUUACAAAAACCUAAUCCUAAAGAUUUUGGUGCACCUUUAUAUAACUUUUCAUGCUUAUUAUCUAAAUUUGAAUAAUUGGACAUUUUUGG